AUGCAGAUUUCUCUCACUGACUUCUAUUCAGAGGCAAAUCCAGAAGAUAAAUCAAGAUCUAUUGGAGGACUAUCAGUGUCAACGCCAAAUGAUAAUCAAACGUUUUCAGGUUACGCUUCAGUCCUUUGCCUAGGGAGAGAAGAAAAAGCUGCGCAGUGCUGUGCAUGCUUCAAUACCUCCCCUCUCAUCGCUUCCCCUUGUCUCCCCGUCUCUUCUGCUUGCAGCAAGAAAGGAUCAGUCUUACAUUUUGCCAGUAAAGGCAGGGGAAAGCACUGCAGUCUACAAGGUAUUGAUGGGUGGUGUACCAUUCAGGGUUGGAUGGCCAAGAGAAAUUGAGGCCCCCAGGCCCAUGUGGGAGGGCUGGACAGAGGGAUGAGGCAGGUGGCAUGGAGGAGGACGUGAAGGGCCACGUCAGCAACAUUUAGAACUUUUCUGGGAAAAAAAGAAAAACAAGACUGAAAUUAUGUGUCAGAAUUGAUCAAAAUGGAGAUAGAAAGACAAACCCACAAGGGGGGAGAUUACAUUAUUCAUGCAGAUCCACAAAAGUGGCAUUCUGACAUUUUACUAAAAGUCAAAUUCAUAAACAAUGUGUAGAUUUGAAUGUGCACUUUCUAAUUAAAUUGUACUAUGUUUGAUGAUGCAUAAGGACAGACUAUAACCGUUUUAUAUAAUAUUAUUUUUGUUGGACAAAUAGGAAGUUGAGUAUAUGGAUACAAGUCAUUGUAUUUUUUUUAUAUGUGAGAAAAUAUAUAUAUAUAUAUAUAUAUGAGUCAUUUAGCAGACCCUCUUAUCAAGAGCGACUUACAGAAGAAAUUAGGGUUAAGUGCCUUGCUCAAUGGCACAUCAACUGAUUUUUCACUUAGUCGGCUCAGGGAUUUGAGCCAGCAACCUUUCGGUGACUGGCCCAACACUCUUAACCGCUAGGCUACCUACCACCCUCUAGAGUCUAUUCAUCGUUUGAUUUACAUUUCUUAAAAGAUAAAGUAAUCAAGCAGUAUCUGUUUAAAUAAAGACAAGUACUUCCUUGUACUUUUUUCUUAUUUUGUCAUCAUAAGAAAACAACUUGCACACUAAGAUCUGUUAACUUUUAUCAAAUAAAAUGUUAUUGGUAGCAGAUGUCAUUGCGGGUGUAGCAAAAUGCUUGUGUUUCUAGCUCCGACAGUGCAGUAAUAUCUAACUAUUUCACAACAUAUACCCAAUACACACAAAUCUAAGUAAAGGAAUGAUGAAUUAAGAAUAUAUAAAUAUAAGGACGAGCAAUGUCAGAGGGGCAUAGACUAAGAUACAGUAGAAUAGAAUAUAUACAUAUGAGAUGAGUAGUGCAAGCUAUGUAAACAUUAUUAAAGUCCACCUGGCCAUGCUGCUGCUCCAGUUUCAACUGUUCUGCCUGCGGCUAUGGAACCCUGACCUGUUCACCGGAUGUGCUACUUGUCCCAGUCUCUAGAGACAGCAGGAGCGGUAGAGAUACUCUCAAUGAUCGACUAGGAAAAGCCAACUGACAUUUACUCCUGAGGUGCUGACCUGUUGCACCCUCGACAACUACUGUGAUUAUUAUUAUUUGACCAUGCUGGUCAUUUAUGAACAUUUGAACAUCUUAGCCAUGUGCUGUUAUCUCCACACGGCACAGCCAGAAGAGGACUGGCCACCCCUCAUAGCCUGGUUCCUCUCUAGGUUUCUUCCUAGGUUUUGUCCUUUCUAGGAAGUUUUUCCUAGCCACCGUGCUUCUACACCUGCAUUGCUUGUGUAACAGUGUAGGUUCCGUCCCACUCUUCGCCCCAACCUGGGCUCGAACCAGGGACCCUUGCACACAUCAACAACUGACACCCACGAAGCAUCGUUACCCAUCGCGCCACAAAAGCCGCGGCCCUUGCAACACAAGGGGAAACUCUACUUCCAAGUCUCAGAGCGAGUGAUGUCACUGAUUGAAACGCUAUUAGCGCGCACCACCGCUAACUAACUAGCCAUUUCACAUCGGUUACACUUGCUGUUUGGGGUUUUAGGCUGGGUUUCUGUACAGCACUUUGAGAUAUCAGCUGAUGUAAGAAGGGCUAUAUAAAUACAUUUGAUUUGAAGUGACUAGUGUUCCAUUUAUUAAAGUGGCCAGGGAUUUCAAGUCUAUGUAUAUAGGCAGCAGCCUCUAAUGUGCUAGUAAUGGCUAUUUAACAGUCUGAUGGCCUUGAGAUUGAAGCUGUUUUUCAGUCUCUCGGUCCCAGCUUUGAUGCACCUGUACUGACCUUGCCUUCUGGAUUAUAGCGGGGUGAACAGGCAGUGGGAUGGGUGGUUGUGGUCCUUAAUGAUCUUUUUGGCCUUCCUUUGACAUCGGGUGCUGUAGGUGUCCUGGAGGGCAGGUACUUUGCCCCCGGUGACGUGUUGGGCAUACUGUACCACCCUCUGGAGAGCCCUGCGGUUGCGGGCGGUGCAGUUGACACACCAGGCGGUGAUACAGCCCGACAGGAUGCUCUCAAUUGUGCAUCUAUAAAAGUUUGUGAGGGUUUUAGGUGCCAAGCCACAUUUCUUCAGUCUCCUGUGGUUGAAGAGGUGCUGUUGCGCCUUCUUCACCACACGGUCUGUGUGGGUGGACCAUUUCAGUUUGUCAGUGAUGUAUACGGCGAGGAACUUGAAGCUUUCCACCUUCUCCACUACGUUCCCGUCGAUAGGGGGUGCUCCCUCUGCUAUUUCCUGAAGUCCACGAUCAUCUCCUUUGUUUUGUUGAGUGAGAGGAUAUUUUCCAGGCACCACACUCCCAGAGCCCUCACCUCCUCCCUGUAGACUGUCUCGUCAUUGUUAGUAAUCAAUACUGUUGUGUCGUGGGUGAACUGGGUGGGUCAUGGGUGAACUGAGAGUACAGGAGGGGGCUAAGCAAGCACCCUUGUGGGGCCCCAGUAGCAGCAGGUAGCCUCCCUGAGCUGACAAGGUAAAAAUCUGUCAUUCUGCCCCUGAGCAAGGCAGUUAACCCACUGUUCCAAGGUGCCAAAAGCCCCCCGCACCUCUCUGAUUGAGGGGUUGGGUUAAAUGCGGAAGACACAUUUCGGUUGAAGGCAUUCAGUUGUACAACUGACUAGGUAUUUCCCUUUCCAGUGUUGAGGAUCAGCGGAGUGGAGGUGUUGUUUCCUACCUUCACCACGUGGGGGCGGCCCGUCAGGAAGUCCAGGACCCAGUUGGUUCAAGCUUAACGAUGAGCUUGGAGGGUACUAUGGUGUUGAAUGCUGAGCUAUUAUAGUCAACAAACAGCAUUCUUACAUGUGUAUUCCUCUUGUCCAGAUGGGAUAGGGCAGUGUGAUGGCGAUUGCAUCGUCUGUGGAUCUAUUGGGGCAGUAAGCAAAUUGAAGUGGGUGACAGGUAAGGUAGAGGUGAUAUGAUUCUUGUCUAGUCUCUCAAAGCACUUCAUGAUGACAGAAGUGAGUGCUACGGGGUGAUAGUAAUUUAGUUCAGGUACCUUUGCUUUCUUGGGUACAGGAUCAAUGGUGGCCAACUUGAAGCAUGUGGCGACAGCAGACUGGGAUAGGGAGAGAUUGAAUAUGCCGUAAACACAGCAGCCAGCCGGUCUGCGCAUGCUCUGAGGACGCGGCUAGAGAUGCCGUCUGGACCGGCAGUUUGCGAGGGUUGUUAACACGCUUUUAAGAAAAUGCCCUAUGAGUCAAUGUCAAUAAAUGAAAAAGAGCCCCAUACAUACCCGCCAUACAGGAAUGGACAUAUUUCACAUUAUGUACUGACCAUUUCAAACUAUAUUUGUGACUUCAGAACAGACAAGCGUCUCUGUGAACCGUGCCCAUCACGCCUACAUUACGCCUUAUUUGGGCACAGGUGACCGGAAGUAUCUAAUUUUAUGGCGGCGGGAUGAAAGGCUCAAAGACGUGCAACAACGUAGGCUACAUAAUUUUGCUACCUAGCUCUGACGAAAUGUCGGUUUUUAAUAGUGAUGGAGUUUUCAAAAGUCACUACUUUC
rnacentral:lncRNA from 8 species